rnacentral:rRNA from 1 species
AUGGGGGGACCAUCCUCCAAGGCUAAAUACUCCUGACUGACCGAUAGUGAACCAGUACCGUGAGGGAAAGGCGAAAAGAACCCCGGCGAGGGGAGUGAAAAAGAACCUGAAACCGUGUACGUACAAGCAGUGGGAGCACGCUUCGGCGUGUGACUGCGUACCUUUUGUAUAAUGGGUCAGCGACUUAUAUUCUGUAGCAAGGUUAACCGAAUAGGGGAGCCGAAGGGAAACCGAGUCUUAACUGGGCGUUAAGUUGCAGGGUAUAGACCCGAAACCCGGUGAUCUAGCCAUGGGCAGGUUGAAGGUUGGGUAACACUAACUGGAGGACCGAACCGACUAAUGUUGAAAAAUUAGCGGAUGACUUGUGGCUGGGGGUGAAAGGCCAAUCAAACCGGGAGAUAGCUGGUUCUCCCCGAAAGCUAUUUAGGUAGCGCCUCGUGAAUUCAUCUCCGGGGGUAGAGCACUGUUUCGGCAAGGGGGUCAUCCCGACUUACCAACCCGAUGCAAACUGCGAAUACCGGAGAAUGUUAUCACGGGAGACACACGGCGGGUGCUAACGUCCGUCGUGAAGAGGGAAACAACCCAGACCGCCAGCUAAGGUCCCAAAGUCAUGGUUAAGUGGGAAACGAUGUGGGAAGGCCCAGACAGCCAGGAUGUUGGCUUAGAAGCAGCCAUCAUUUAAAGAAAGCGUAAUAGCUCACUGGUCGAGUCGGCCUGCGCGGAAGAUGUAACGGGGCUAAACCAUGCACCGAAGCUGCGGCAGCGACACUAUGUGUUGUUGGGUAGGGGAGCG